AAUUAACGCUGGCGGCAUGCCUAACACAUGCAAGUCGCACGAGAAAGCCCCUUUCGGGGGGCAAGUAAAGUGGCGCACGGGUGAGUAACGCGUGGAUAAUCUACCUCUUUCUGGGGGAUAACGGCACCGAAAGGUGCGCUAAUACCGCAUAACCCGGUUGGUCUUAGGGCUGAUCGGUAAAGAUGGCCUCUUCAUGAAAGCUAUCGGGAAGAGAUGAGUCCGCGUCCCAUUAGCUUGUUGGUAGGGUAACGGCCUACCAAGGCGACGAUGGGUAGCUGGUCUGAGAGGACGAUCAGCCACACUGGAACUGGAACACGGUCCAGACUCCUACGGGUGGCUG
rnacentral:rRNA from 1 species